AUGGCUUCCUUCAUUAGAAAUGCAGUUUUGCUAAUGCUGCUUUUGGUGUUCUCAACGUCCAUUUGUGAUGCUCGGAAGAGAAGAUUUGUUCGAGUGGAAAAUAAUUUGGCUUUGGAUGGAGACUUGAGCCUUACCGUUCACUGCAAAUCCAGAGACGAUGAUCUUGGUGUCAAAGUGCUCCCGAUUAAUGGCACAUUUGAAUUCAGUUUCAAGCCUAACUUUAUUCACACAACACAAUUCUACUGCAGUUUUCAGUGGCCAGGUAGAUUUGAGUGGUUCGACAUAUAUAAAGAUUCGGCAGACAAAUGCAGUUUGUGUUACUGGAAAGUAUUUCCUAGCGCGGUAUGCAGGUUGAGCUGGGAGUUCGACAUUAACGGUGUUUACACCGAUUGCUAUCCGUGGAAUGAUCAUGCCACUCAUAUUAUCAAGUCUUAA
rnacentral:lncRNA from 1 species